rnacentral:rRNA from 1 species
UACGUAGGGUGCAAGCGUUGUCCGGAUUUACUGGGUGUAAAGGGUGCGCAGGCGGACUUAUAAGUCAGUGGUGAAAUCUCGGCGCUUAACGCCGAAACUGCCUUUGAUACUAUAAGUCUUGAGUUUGGUAGAGAUCCGUGGAAUUCCGAGUGUAGCAGUGAAAUGUGUAGAUAUUCGGAAGAACACCAGCGGCGAAGGCAGCGGAUUGGGCCAAUACUGACGCUCAGGCACGAAAGCAUGGGGAUCAAACAGG